GCAUACACUGUAUCAAGGAUAAAUUAAGACUAGUAAAGAAGACGAAACUUUAACCUUGAACUAAUUAAUCAAAAAUUACAGAGUGCCACAAUAUGAAACAGAAAAGGUUCCAAGCAUUUAACUUAGGAUUUCAAGUAAUAAAGUCAAAUAUAUGUUGUGUGACAUGAAAUCAUAUACAUAGGAGACAGCCGAAGCAGAAUGCAGGAAAUGGAAGAUCUCCCUCCAAAAGAAGAAUAAAAAAUUCCAAGUUUGUUAAAAACAACUUACUGAGUGGUUUAUUAGG
rnacentral:misc_RNA from 1 species